GACGAACGCUGGCGGCGUGCUUAACACAUGCAAGUCGAGCGGUAAGGCCCUUUCGGGGGUACACGAGCGGCGAACGGGUGAGUAACACGUGGGUGACCUGCCCUCAGCUCUGGGAUAAGCCUGGGAAACCGGGUCUAAUACUGGAUAUGACUCCAUGACGCAUGUUGUGGGGUGGAAAGCCUUGUGCGGCUGAGGAUGGGCCCNCGGCCUAUCAGCUUGUUGGUGGGGUGANGGCCUACCAAGGCGACGACGGGUAGCCGGCCUGAGAGGGCGACCGGCCACACUGGGACUGAGACACGGCCCAGACUCCUACGGGAGGCAGCAGUGGGGAAUCUUGCGCAAUGGGCGAAAGCCUGACGCAGCGACGCCGCGUGAGGGAU
rnacentral:rRNA from 1 species